AUUGUGAGGUGAUAAAGGGAAGUCACCAGGAAAGGGAAGCAAAGCCAGUCAGCUUGAGCAUCCCUUGCUAACAGCUGGGUCUCAGCCGCCCAGAGAUCCAGGGAAGAUGCUGGCUUCAACAUCCAGGGCACCUAGGUCUGCACAUCAUGCCUGAAAUACACACGCCGUAUUCUUUCUUGAAGAAGCUGUUGUCUUUAUUCAAUGGCUUCACGGCUAAGGUUCAGGAUGUGGACUCGGAGCACACCUUUCUGACUCUGAGGAGGAAUAUGGCGGAUACAAUGAGCCAGAAGACUUCUCUACACAGUGGAACAUUGCCAUGGAGAAGGGCUGCUUCGCCAAACUUCUGAAAAUCACCAGGACUCAAAGCUUCACCCUGAGCGCAGUCUCCUUGCGAGCAGCAGCCGUGCAGGUCUGUGGAGAGCAGAGGUGUGCUUGGAAGGUUCGGGACACAGAAGGCACCUUCAUUUCAUGAUGACCUGUUCUUGCUGAGACUCUUCCUUCAAGUGACUAAGGCAGAGAGUGAUGGAGCACAGCAUCCCCUACCCCCAACCCUGCUGCCCAUGAGCACACAGAAGUGCACACACCACACAGAGGUAACAACGGCCAGUGAGUCUCACUGCCGGGGAUUCUUGCCACCUUACUGCUGUCCAUCAAGCUGGGCUGACAAAGUCUGGGAAGGGACAGGACACAGAGUCCCUGCCGCUGGAGAGUGGGUCUCCUCAUUUUUCUCUGGGCCACUCACUGCUCUUUGGGGGGAGUUAAUAAUAAAACAUCAAGAAAC